ACGGAAGGCAGCAGUGAGGAAUAUUGGUCAAUGGGCGGAAGCCUGAACCAGCCAAGUCGCGUGAAGGAUGAAGGUAUUAUGUAUUGUAAACUUCUUUAGCAGUGGAGUAAUAAGGGGCUCGUGAGCCCUGAUGCAAGUACACUGAGAAUAAGGAUCGGCUAACUCCGUGCCAGCAGCCGCGGUAAUACGGAGGAUCCGAGCGUUAUCCGGAUUUAUUGGGUUUAAAGGGAGCGUAGGCGGGCUUUUAAGUCAGUGGUAAAAGCGUGUGGCUCAACCAUACCACGCCAUUGAAACUGGAAGCCUUGAGUGCGCACAGGGAUGCUGGAAUUCGUCGUGUAGCGGUGAAAUGCUUAGAUACGACGAAGAACUCCGAUCGCGAAGGCAGGUGUCCGGGGUGUAACUGACGCUGAGGCUCGAAAGUGCGGGUAUCAAACAGGAUUAGAUACCCUGGUA
rnacentral:rRNA from 1 species